GAUCCUGGCUCAGGACGAACGCUGGCGGCGUGCCUAACACAUGCAAGUCGAGCGGAGACAUAUAGCGGAAGUUUUCGGAUGGAAGCGAUAUGUUUUAGCGGCGGACGGGUGAGUAACGCGUGAGCAACCUUUCCUUGACAGGGGGAUAACGUACCGAAAGGUACACUAAUACCGCAUAAGGCCACAGCACCGCAUGGUGCAGGGGUGAAAGGAGCAAUCCGGUGAAGGGUGGGCUCGCGUCCGAUUAG
rnacentral:rRNA from 1 species